rnacentral:rRNA from 1 species
UGAGGAAUAUUGAGCAAUGGGCGCAAGCCUGACUCAGCAACGCCGCGUGGAUGAUGAAGGCCUUCGGGUUGUAAAAUCCUUUUCUGGGGGACGAUAAUGACGGUACCUCAGGAAUAAGUUCCGGCUAACUACGUGCCAGCAGCCGCGGUAAAACGUAGGGAACAAGCGUUAUCCGGAUUUACUGGGCGUAAAGCGCGCGCAGGCGGCAUGGAAAGUUGGACGUGAAAACUCCUGGCUUAACUGGGAGAGG